AUUGAACGCUGGCGGCAUGCCUUACACAUGCAAGUCGAACGGCAGCACGGGUGCUUGCACCUGGUGGCGAGUGGCGAACGGGUGAGUAAUACAUCGGAACAUGUCCUGUAGUGGGGGAUAGCCCGGCGAAAGCCGGAUUAAUACCGCAUACGAUCUACGGAUGAAAGCGGGGGACCUGCGGGCCUCGCGCUAUAGGGUUGGCCGAUGGCUGAUUAGCUAGUGGGUGGGGUAAAGGCCUACCAAGGCGACGAUCAGUAGCUGGUCGGGGAGGACGAGUAGCCACACUGGGAGUGAGACAGGCCACAGAGUGCUACGGGAGGGAGCAGUAGGGAAAUUGGGGGAAGGGGCGAGAGACUGAGCCAACUAGGCCGCGUGUGGGAAGAAGGCCGUCGGGUUGUAAAGCACGUUUGUCCGGAAAGAAACCGUUGGCCCUAAUACGGUCGGGGGGAUGACGGUACCGGAAGAAUAAGCACCGGCUAACUACGUG
rnacentral:rRNA from 1 species